AUUCAGGUAGUUUAAUAUCAAAAUGUCGAUUUGUGGAGUCGAAUAUACAAUGAAGUUGUUCUGAAUA
rnacentral:tRNA from 1 species